rnacentral:rRNA from 1 species
AUACGGAGGGGGCUAGCGUUGUUCGGAAUUACUGGGCGUAAAGCGUACGUAGGCGGACUGAUAAGUAAGAUGUGAAAUCCCAGGGCUCAACCCUGGAACUGCAUUUUAAACUGUUAGUCUAGAGUUAUGGAGAGGUAAGUGGAAUUCCUAGUGUAGAGGUGAAAUUCGUAGAUAUUAGGAGGAACACCAGAGGCGAAGGCGGCUUACUGGACAUAUACUGACGCUGAGGUACGAAAGUGUGGGGAGCAAACGGGAUUAGAAACCCUAGUAGUCC